rnacentral:lncRNA from 1 species
UUAAUAGAUCUAUCAGUUAAUUGAAUACUCAUUCUAGUGGGUUUAGGUUCCCCAAGACCAAGUUGUUUAAACAUUUUAUAUGGCAUCAAAUUAAUGCUAGCGCCUAAAUCAGCUAGUGCCUUAUCAACAUUCAAACUACCAAUUAAGCAGGGAAUAGUAAAACUUCCUAGAUCUUUCAGUUUGGUUGGCAGUUUAUUUUGGAGUAUAGCUGAACACUCCUCAUUAUGUUCCACUGUAGAUAGGUCUUCAAACUUCCUUUUCUUUGUUAGAAGCUCCUUUAAAAAUUUUUCAUAUGUAGGCAUCUGUGAUAUAGCUUCAACAAAAGCUAAGUUAAUAUGCAGUUGUUUAAAAAGUUCAAGAAAUUUACCGAAUUGUGCAUCUAUACGGUCUUUCUUCAACUUUGCUGGAUAUUGGAUUGGUGGUUUAUAUUCCUUUGGCAUUGGAUUGUGAUUGUUUUCGGGUUUUACCUCCUCUUCUUUGUUUCUGUCAACUUUUAUGGUGGCUUCUUUUCAGAUUCAGCUAACACUUUCCCACUCCUUAGUGUAACUACUUUUACAUGCUCUUUUGGUUUGGGUUCAGUGUUACUAGGUAGACUUCCUGGUGGUUUUUCUGAUAUUAUCUUAACCAGCUACCCAAUUUUAUUCUCGAGUCCUUGGAUCGACGCUUGCUGAUUUUUAAGUGCAGUUUCAGUGUUCUAAAAAUGGGUUUCCGCUACUAAAAUAAAUUCUAAAAUCAUCUCCUCAAGGUUCGACUUUUUCUCCUGCGGGUAAGGUUGUUGUUGGAAGCUUGGAGGGGGUGGUGGCCCUUGAUUCCCUUGGCCUCCCUAUGAGAAAUUUGGGUAGUUCCUCUAUCCUGCAUUCUAAGUAUUACUAUAAGGAUUAUUUUGAGGUCGAGGAUUAUUACCCAUAUAAUUUAAUUUCUCGUUUUUGAUGUUGUGGCUAUAAGGUGGGUAUUCUGAAUUACUUGUUCCUCAUCCACUUGCAUUGCAUUGCAUUGCAUUACUGGGUGAACCUGUGAAGAACCAAGUAAACCAUCAAUUUUUCUAUUUAAAAGUUCUACCUAAUUAGAGAGCAUGGUGACCGAAUCGACGUUAAAAGUGCCAGCUGCUUUCAUUAGCUUUGUCCUCAUGACUUGCCACUGAUAAUUAUUUAGUGACAUCUCUUCUAUAAAUUCAUAAGCCUUAUCAGGUGUCUUAUUAUUGAUAGUCCCACCAGCAGCCGCAUCAAUCAUCUGUCUAGUCGAAAACAUUAGGCCAUUGCGAAAAGUUUAAACUUGUAUCUAGAGUGGUAACCCAUGGUAAGGGCACAUUCUCAAUAUAUCCAUGUAUCUCUCCCAUGCAUCAUAGAGUAACUAAAGGCGAAUGGCAUCAUCAGAAACACCAUUAAUCUUAAAUGUGUCACAAAACUCUAGAAAGUUUGCCAAAUGAGCAUUUGGAUCCUCGUCCUGCAAAGCAUCAAACUAAAAAAAUUAUUGUAUCAUUUGAAUCGUGUUAGGUUUCAAUUCAAAAUUAUUUGUAGCAACAGCAGGUCUAACUAUACUCGAUUCGGUUACUGUUAAAUUAGGUUUAGCAUAAUCAUACAUAGUACGAGGAACAAGAUUCUGAUUUAUUGGAUCUGCAGCAACCACAGGAGGAAGCUGAUUAUUUUGAUUUUUAGCCAUCUCCUCGGUUGUAUUAUGGAUAUCUUCCUCUUGUCCUUCCUCUAUGUUUCUUAGGUUUCGCCUUAUUUCUCUUCAAUUUUUGCGAGCUGUGCUUUCAAUCUCACUGUCAAAAAGUAAUGGUCCUGACAGAUUUCUUUUAGUCAUAAACUAUAAAACCUGUCAGAAGAAAACAAAAGAAAAUUUAGAAACAAAAACCAAAAUAAAAUUUAAAUUGCAAUAAAAUAAAUGGCUAAAGUAAUAAAAAUUAAGUGUUCCUAAUAUCUUAGUUCCCCGGCAACGGCGCAAAAAACUUGAUUGAUGUGAAUGGUGAUAAGUUUUAAAUUUAUGAUUGAUCGUUUUUGAAAACUAAAUAUUAUCACGAUGAAGGAAAGCGCACCUAUUGAACAGUAGUAUAGUGUAUAGCAAGACCGGGAUGUCGAACCCACAGGAACUAAAAGUACUAGUAUUAACUCUCUUCUUAUUAUCUAGCCUUAAAAAAUAAAAGGGGUUUGUUUUAUCUAAAUUAAUUAACUAAACUAAGAACGCACAGGAAGAAAUUUGGGCAAAUACUUUUGGGAAAAACUGAUUGAUUUGGACAAUACCUAAGGAAAAAUCGACUUAGACUUCACUUGUUAUUUGACUCUAAAUCAAACGAUUUAUUCACUUGACUUGAUCCGUAGAAAUCCCAAAGUUAUAUUAUUAUCUCUCUCGAGACUAACAAUGUCUAACCCUAGGUUGAUUAAUUGAAAUCUCUUUCUAAUUAAAACCCCUAGUGUUGCAUUAACUCGAUCUAUGGAUUCCCUUAUUAGGUUUCACCCUAACCUAGCAAAAUUAUGUCGCCCUAUGUCUAGAGGUGCAAUCAACUCUGCUUAAUUAUGCUAGGUCUACUCUUAGACAGGGACUUUUGCUCUUCUGAAUAAGCACAUCAAUACUUGAAUCAAUAUCCUGGAAUAUUAAAGCAAGAAUUAAGAAUUCAUAAUUAAGAACAAGUCAAAUAUUUAUCAUAUAAUUCAGAAAAUAAUAACAAGAUUCAUCUUAGGUUUCAUUCCCCUUAGGUAUUUAGGGGAUUUAGUUCAUAAGUGUAAAAGAAAACAUCUCAGAAGAAUAACAAAACAUAAAGAAAACUCAAAAACUCCUGAAGGAAAUUGAAGGGAGAUCUUCAGUCUUGAAGGGGGAUCCAACUUCUGAGAUGGAUCAAUCGGCUUUUUUCGAGUAAUCCCUUACCUCCUACUCCGUACGUGUCUUUCAGGUAUCUCCCGGGGUGUUUAUAUAGACUUUAGAAUGCUUCUAGACCCUCAAGAGUGGCCUUUUUUGAAUAAGACUAGACUUGGGCUCGACAGGGACAUGCCCGUGUGACACACCCGUGUGAGGUGGCUUAGGCUGUGUUGCAAUCUCUUAAAUAGACACGGGCGUACGAACUACCCAUGUGAGGAAGUCCAGGCCGUGUUGAUUUCCUACGUUGACCCAUUUUCUUCGUUUUUGGCCCGUUUCUCGCUCUUUUUACUCUUCUAUGCUCACCUAAGUAUAAAACAUGAAAUUGAAGGGUUAGGAGCAUCAAAUUUCACAAAUCUAAUGAUAAUUCAUCCAAAAAUGUGCUUAAGCAUGGGAUAAAAUAUAUAUAAAUUAUGACAUAUCAUGUUUAUGUAAAUAUUAUGAAAAAUAUUUUGUUUAUAUAACCAACUUACAUAUUGGUAUGAGAAUAAGGUAUAAUUGUAAUGUUAGUAUGAGUGAUAUAUGCACAUAUUUAUUUGAAUUGUAGUGAACAUUACUAACUUUAUUAGGUAAAUUAAUUAGGUAAGUUUGGAUACCUGGUUGACAUGUUUUUAAGUUGUCAUUUGAGGUGCCUAAGGGCAUAUUGGUUGUAUGUGGUGAUCAUACGAAUACCUUGUUAUGGCUUGUUGAUGUGCUAUUUGUUGAGUCUAGGUUGAUGUCAAUUUAGGUGAGAAUUGUGGCUUGAAAAAUGACCUAUUUUUGUCCACAUGGACAAAGAUACAGGUGUGUGUCUCAGCCGUGUGUCACACACGGCCAAAUGACACGGUCCUGCAUCCCCUGUAUUUUAUUGAUAAUGCAAGUCAAUAUGCUUACACGGCCUAGCAAAUGGGCAUGUGACUUGGUCGUGUGACCCAAGUUAGAGAGUUACACGGGCACAGACACGACCGUGUGUCCCUAUUUCGGAUGCUCACACGACCUUAAACACUGGCAUGUCUCCUGACUGUGUGAGUCACACGGCCGUAUGACCCCUGUAGCUUUGAAACUUUUCUACGUUUUUAGAAAAAUUCUCUAAGUUUCUAAUUUAGUCCCGACUUAUUACUAAUGUGUAUUUCGAGUCUUGAGGGCUCAUAUAAAGAACAUUAUAUAUUAUUUUUGAUUGGUUUUAUUAUGAAUAUUAAUAUGUAAUGAAACGUUUGAAAUUUCUGUCUAAUUGAUUCGUAAACCCUGAUAAUGCUUUGUAAUUCUAUUUCGGUGACUGAUAGGGGUUAGAGGUAUUACAAUUAGUGGUAUCAGAGCUACGGUUUAGUCGAUUCUCAGAUUGAACGUAGCUGUGAAAUGUCUAGAAUUACAUGCCAUAUAAAUUUGUGAUAGUGUGAUGUGCAUGAUCUGAUCUAACCUUCUUUUUUUUAUAGAUUGUAAAGAUGUCAAACCGAUCUGAUCGUGCUGACAAUGAUGAAGUUAAUAGUAAAGUAUCGACUUCUGAACAUGGGAUGAGUAGUAAUGUCCCGAUUCCUCUGGCUCAGUAGCAUGAACUUAAAAAUAUGUUCUUUGGGUAUAUGAACCAGUGGUUCAGCGAGUUUAGGCUAGAAAAAAAUCCGGCUCAACAACCUCCACCCCUAUUUAUAAUGACUUGAUAGUCACGGGUAUUGAAAAGUGUAUUUUUGAGUCUCCAUUUUCGUAAAUAUUAAAAGUAAUUAGGAAUUGGUUAAUUAGGUCUUAGUUAGGUGAAUUUGCAUGAAUUAAGAGUAAUUAAGCAUAGAGACUAAAUUGCAUAUAGUUUGGAAGUUGAAUUAUAGAUUAAAGAAAAUAAAAAGGGCUAAAUAAACAAUGUAACCUAUUUUUAACAAGUGUAUGGAGUUGGUGUUUACAUGUGUAAAAAUAAGAUACAUAUGUAUAAAAUACAUAUGAAUAAAAUAAUAAAUUAUACUACUUAAUACUUAAGAAUAUAUAUUAUAUAAUAUUAUAUUAUUAUAAUAAUGAUAAAAUAAAUAAACAAAACAAACAAAAGAAAAAAAUAGAAAAGGAAAUAAAGUUAAAAUGAAAUAGAGAAGAAAAAGAAAGUUCAAAGCUUAAUUGGUAGGUCAAUUUAGUGCCUUUUCUUAUAAUUUUUAUGUUUUUGAAAUCCUGGUAUUAAAUAUUGCUUAACCUGUGUCAAAAUUUUUGAAAAUAUUGAGUUUUUAAAUGUUGUCUAUGUUGAAUAAUUAGAGUAUAAGGGACUAAAUUGAUAGAUUUUUAAGUUAGAAGUGAAAAAAGGACUGAAUUAUCGAAUAAAUUGUAAAUUUUGAGUAUUAGGGACUAAAUUGUGAAAAUUUUGAAAUUUAUGGAUUUAAAUGAAAUUAGAGAGUUGAAUUUAGUUUAAAGUAGAAAUUGAAUGAAUGUUAAAAAUAUAGUAUACUCUGUUAAUUGAGUUAGCUAGCCUAGCUAUUAGUCUUCUACUGUUAGUUUGUUACUCAAUCAGUUAGGUUGUUAGCCAUAGCAGUUACUAUAUUGUUCUAUAAAUAAUAAUCUCUAUAAUGUUCAUGUGAAGGUAACAAGUUUAAUACAUAUUUCUAUACUCAGCAGUGCUUAUUCAUAGUUUACUGUAGUUGUUAACAUGGUAACAGUCACCUAAAAGGUUCUGGAAACCUACCUCAAUGACCACCGCUUUUAACGCCUCCAUGCCCGAAACCGUCACCGGAGUCAAGCUUGAGGUGUUACUAAACUUAUCUUAUCUUUUAAACAACUCUAAACCACUUAUUUUAAUUUUCAGAAUAAACUAUUUUUAUGCAUCAUGGUUGCUUAAAAAUUCAUUUCUCGAGUUUCAAAACUCGAAAUUAAGAUCCGUAAAUUUUUCCUAAAAAUAGACUCAUAUAUAUAUCUAUUAAUUUUUUUCUAGAAUUUUUGACUUAGCCAAUUAGUACAAUUUACUAGUUAAAGUUACCCCUGUUUCAGAAUUCGACUGCACUGACCUCUACUUACUACGAACCACUUUUCUCCCUGCACAACAUUCAUAUGACUAUACCGUUUGUUUCUAUUAAAACUAGAUUCUAACCAUAUAAAGUAAACCACCUAAUUAUUUUUGUAAAUUUAUGGUGGAUUUCCAAAGUUGGAACAGGGGAUCCAGAAAUGGCUCUGGCCCUAUUUCACUAAAACUCAGAUAUCUUAUAAAAUACAAAACCUUUACCUGUUUUGCUUAUUCCAUAUGAAAAUAGACACAAUGAGCUUUAAUUUCAUAUAUUAUUCACCAUCAAACCAUGUCUCUACAAUUUUUUUGUGAUUUUUCAAAGUCACGUUAUUUCUGAUACUUGAAUCCGUUUUUAAGUUACUUUCACAUUUUUCAUAGUUUUCAUGUGAUAGUUACUACUUAAUCAUACAUACUAUUAAACAUGUAUAUCAUCAGCCAUUCUAUUAGAUAAUCACUAGCAAGUAUUUACACAUCAUUCAUUGAUCAUAUCAUAUCAAAAGAAACCAAGUUCCUAUACAUGCCAUACACAAAACGAAACGUCUAACUAUACCAAUGUGAUUUCUUCGAUAGUGUGAUCGGGUCUCCGACGUUUCCUUCGAUCCCCGAGUGGCUUGAUAAAAACUAUAAGAAAAAGAAAAUAAAGAGAGUAAGCACUAGGCUUAGUAAGGUUACAAGCAAAUAAAUUACAACAUUUAACAUAAUGAACAAUUAUACAUAAUGUCACCUCGCCUCAUAAACUUUCUUUACUUCUCAUUUUCUACCUUUUUCUUUACUCACUUACCUUCUUUCUUACCUGACCUUUCACUAUUCAUAAAUAUAAUCUACCUUCCCUUUUGCUAAUAAUUCACUGUAAUUUAACGUGUACAAUGACCCGUUGAACCACUCGAAAUACUAAGGAUACUAGGAUCGUUCCUGUCUAUCAAUAUCUUGCCAAUGCCAUGUCUUUGACAUGGACUUACAUGAAUUAUUCCUGUCUCCAAUGCCAUAUAUAUAUAUAUAUAUCUAAUAUGGGCUUACAUGGCUCAUUCCUGUCUCCAAAGCCAUAUAUCUGAUAUGGACUUACAUGGCUCAUUUCUGUCCUGUCUUGUCCUGUCAACCCCAAAAUCCUAACAUUCCUAAGGCUCAAACGGGGCUUCCUAAUGCUUUUUCUCUGUCACUUCGCCUUUAAUUCGACUUUAAAUAUUCUCAAAAAAUAAGUAUAUAAAUGCUGGAAAUUGACAAUAAUAAUGUAAAAUAAAAUAAUAUUGCAUUUAUUUACUGUAAACUUACCUCGAUACAAAAUGUGACUAAACUUUACAAUUUAGUCCUUUACUUUUUCUUUUCCCCGAUCUACUCCCGAAUUUCGCUCUUCUUGAUCUAUAAUAGAAAUUUUAACUUAUUUAAUAUUCACAUUUAUCAAAACAGUCCUUGACCCAAAAUUUGGCAAAAUUAUAUUUUUCCCCUAAACUUUCACAUAUUUGCACUUUUUCCCCAAGGCUCGUAAUUUAAAUUUCAUCCUAUUUUAUUAUGUUUUAUGACAUGCUGAUCCUUUUUCCCUUCUAUGACAACAUGAAUUCACACUCUAACAUGUACUUAUGACUAUUAGGUAUUUUUACCGAUUAAGCCCUUUUACUCGUUUUCACUUAAAACCGAGUAGCACAAGUUGUUUAACAUAAUUUAAAACCUCAUAUUAUAUCAUAAAACAUCAAAAUAAACACUUUUCACCUAUUGGUAUUUUUCCAAAUAUGAACCCUAACUUAAAUUAUUGCUAGCAUAAGCUUUAUCGAGCUACCGGGACGCCGAAAACGUAAAGAACAUUAAGAAUGGGGCUUGGAAUCACUUACUAUGGAGCUUGAAAGCUUGAAAAAAAUCGUAGCUAUGGAGAACCCUUGAAAUUUCGUGCUAAUGAAGAAGAUGAUGAAUUUUGUGUUAUUUUUCCCUUUUUAUUUCAUUUAAUAUCCAAAUGACCAAAAUGCCCUUCCUUAUUAAACUUUCAAAAAUUCCAUCCAUGUCCUAUUUUGUCCAUGAACUUAGAAAUUGGUCAAAUUGUUAUUUAAACCCUCCUAAUUAAUAUUCCAAAGCAAUUUCAUACUAAAAACUUCUAGAAUGCAAGUUUUGUAAAUUAUUCGAUUUAGUCCCUAAUCUCAACUUAAGCACUUUAUUCAUAGAAUUUCAUCACGAAAUUUUCACACAAUCAUGCAAUCAUAUCAUGAACCUCAAAAUAAUAAUAAAAUAAAUUUUUCUACCUCGAAUUUUUGGUUUCACAACCACUAUUCCGUUUAGGCCCUAUUUCGGGAUGUUACACCGCUGCCUCUACAGAUUCAGCCGCCGUUGAUCUUGGAUGUCCAGUGUUUACUAGUCCUAGACUAUUAAGUUGUGUAAUGGGCCAAAUCUGCCCGGGCCCAACAACCAAAAACCAAAAUUAAAAAACAAAUAAAAAUUAAACCAAAUUAAAUGUCCACAAGUCCAAAUUACAGAACCCAAUUUCAAACCCAAACCAAAAUUUUAAACCCAAAAACUGAAAUAAUCUUAGCCCAAUACUCAAUGGCCCAACAACUAAUAAAGCCCGAUAGGCCCAAUCCUUUGAAAGUUCUUAGGAACCCUAACCCUAGCCCCAUUCGCUUGGCGCCGCAGUAGCUUCCAGCAUCCUCCAGCACUACCAUCACUCGUGCCUCCAAGUCGACACAACCGUACCACCUCCGUACACCGCCAUGUACCUGCAAGCAGACAAGCAGACAACAGCAAAAUAGAGACAAAAAAGGAGUAGAUUUUUGUAUUCUUUUUCUUUUUUCUUCAUUUUUUUGCUUUCGGCUACAAAAAGCCAAAGCCAAAGAAUGUAAUCAAAGGAGGCACACUUCGCAUAUUGUAAUAGAGAAAAAGGCUAUCAAAAUCAAGAGGUGAUUUCCGAUUUAGAUCGCUGGGCAUUUUUUUAUCUAUAUAUAUAUAUUUCUUUUUUCUUUCUCUUCGGCUUUAUUCUUUAGUUCUUGUUGUUUUUUUUUUAUUUGAAGACACGAAUAAAAAAGGCGAAGGGCUUACCUUUGCGAACACGCCAUCGAAGUCCCUAGUUCCUCCGUCGAGAUCGGAGUUAUAGAGGGGAUUUUGGGGCUAAAAUUGGCGGUCAUUGAGAGGGAUCCAAGCGGGGUUAACGAGCGAACAUAUCACCCUCCGUCGAUCACCGUUUGGGGUGGUCAAAUGGCGACUAGGGUCUUUUGAGGCCUGGUGCUAAAGAGGGGUGAAAAUCGGCCAAAUAAGAGAAGGUAUGGGGGUAUUAGGGUUUAGCUUUAAUGGAGGCUUGAAGAAAUGGCCGAUUGCCUCUCAAUCCCCUGCUAUUGUGGAUUAAAAAUGAAACGGCGCCGUUUUAGGGGAAGGGACCCGCGCAUUAACCUGUUCCAAGACUCGGAUCCGCGCUUUUGCGUUUAAAAUGGGUUAUUUGUGCAGCAGGUCCUUCCUCUUUGCACUGCAUUAUGAUUAGCUCCCACUCGCAUCUGAUUUGUUUUGAUUUCUUUUGAAUUUUUCCCAAAAUUUGAGCUUUUUUGCAUUUUAGCCCGUAUCUCAACGCAGUGUUUCGGGAUCGGGGAAAUUAUCAGCUUUGGUCCCUCUGAAUUUGCGCAUGUUGCGCAUGGGUCCUUAUUUUAAUAUUAGUAGUUUGUUUUAUUUAUAUAUUAGCCCUUUCAUUCUAAUUUCAUUUUAAUUAGAUCCCUUUGAUUUGUAUAAUUCAUUUUUUAUUAUUCGCUCUAUUUUUUCUAUAAAUGUAUACUUUUUUUUUCUGAGUUUUUAAGAUGAUUUUGCCCUUUUGACAUAAGAUCUUUAUUUCAAAUUUUUUAUCAUGUUAUUUUAAAAUGUUUUUUUGUAUAAUAUAUCCUUUAAAUGUUUUUAUAUACUAUUAAAUACAUGUAGUUCAUGAUAAAGUUGGAUUUUAUUCUAUAUAUCUUAUUAAAUCUAUGAUUACUUCACAUAUAUUAUUUCUUUCGAAUCUAUUUGCAUAUAUAUAUAUCAAAACCUUAUGUAUAUAAAACAUAUUUUAUCAUUUUUUUUGUUUUUAAAAAACCUUUCAUAUUUUUGAAUAUUCUUUAUUGUAUGUGUAAGUUUAUUUUGAUAUUUCAUUUUAAAAAAACAUUUUGCACAUUUUUUGAAUUAUUGUAUCAUAUAAUCAUUUUAAAAUUUUCUUCAUGUAAUUUUAUGUUUAAAAGAUUCAUAUAAUAUUUUAUCUUCAUAUAUCAAUAUUCAUAUAUACAUAUACAUAAUUUAUAUCGAAUUACUUAUUUAAAUCCUCUCUUGAAUAUGUUCAUAUUUUUUUUUACUUAUAUAUAUUCUUUAUUUCUUUUAAAUCCAAUCUUGGUAUUAUAUAUAUUUUGUUUGUUUCAAAUGUUUUCCUAUAUUAUUAUUAUCCUCUUGUAUAAGCUUUGUUUAUAUUAAGCUUUUUAUUUCAUGAACAUUAAUUAUUGUGGGUGAACAAAUCUUGCUUCAAAUUAUUUUUGUACAAUCACUAGUUUCAUAUUACAUAGUUAGUAUUUCAUAUACAUUCUUUUAAAUACUUUUAUACGGUUAUACCCAUAUAAUCUAUUUAUCUUAAAACUUUCUAACAUGUAUGCCAUUGGUUUAAAAUUUAUGUUGACAUCCAUUACUAUAUUUAUGUAUAUUAUAUAUAAUCGAUAAAUUUUGGGUUUAAAUCGUUUUGUAUAGUCUUCUUUCCAAAAUUCUUCUUAUAAUACUAUUUUUUGAAAUUCAUUUAUAUGUUAAAGUUUAUAUAUUAUUUACUCUAUAUUUUUAUUGUUUGAUGAUUUAACUCAAAUUUUUAUGCGUAUAUACAUAUUCCUGGUUUCUAUAAAAUAUUUCGAAUCAUAGCAUAUGCUAGCUUUUAUGAUAUAUUUAUUUUAUAUCAUGCUUUGUAUAUUAUUGUGGCAUGUUAUUGUGUGCAUUGACUUGGUUGUGUUGAAUUGUUAUAUUACUAUUUUUGUCAUUGUAUUAUCAUAUCAAUUAUUUCCCCUGCAUGAUCGUAAUCGGGUUAUAUUUUUUAGGUUAGUUAUACCUAAUUAUUAGUUUGUUAAUUGAUGGUAUCUCAUGUGUAUAUUAUCCCAUAUCAUUGUUUUCCACUUGGUUUACGAAAUAUGGUUUUAUAAAAUCUAAAUUUUUAUGAUUAGUUUCAUCUUAUUUCGAGUUGAAUUAACGCGCUUUAAGCUAGUUUUAUAAUCAUUCAUGUUUUCUAAAAACCCUUUAAAACUAAGGCAAUGCUCGAUGUUUAGAAAUUCGAGGAAUCGUGCCCUACUGUGCUGGGUUUCGAUUUUACGUUGGACUCAAUAAUCGGGCAUCCGUUUGUAAUCUUCAACUUCUAAACUUUUGGAAAUAAAAAAUUUAUCGUGUUCUCGAGGGUUUAACGGAUUGUGUCCUAUCAUGCUAGAUACGAUGCUAUAUUCCCUCAAAAUGAGAAGACUUUGACAACCAACUCGUGUUAUUCAAAUGUUAAUAAAAAGAACCACAUUUCAAAAAUAUUUUUAAUUUUAGACAUAAGGACAGUAUUUAAUUGAUUUGGUACCAAUUUUGGGCGUAGUAAGGGUGCUAAUCCUUCCUCAUGCGUAACCGACUCCCGAACCCAUUUUCUCAUAUUUUUGUAAGACCAAAAUCGUUGUUUUAAUAAAAGGAAAUAUUUUAUUAAAAUAACCAAACUUCUAGGUGAUCCGAUCACACUUAAACAAAAAGAUCGGUGGCGACUCCGUUUUCAUUUUUCAAAAAGUUGAUUCCCCAUUUUUUCGUUAAAUUUAAAAUUUAAAAAAAAGGUUCGACAGCUUGGCGACUCCACUAGAGACUAGAGAGUCUAGCCAUAAAAUCGAUUAUUUGUUGUCCUUUUGUCGAAAUAUUGAAAAUUUGUUAUGAAAAUCAUAAUUGCAUUUGUUUCUAAUAAUAUUGCAUUUCAUUGCAUGACUGCUGUGGUCACAUCGUGAGGUUUUCACCUCCGCAUGGGCUAGUGGAUUGCUUCCAGGGUACAUCCACACCUAUGAUUUCGUGAGAUUUUCAUCUCCGCAUGGUCAUAGGGAAAUGUAUUCCCCUGAACUGAACUCAAUCUGUAUGAGCCUAUAAUGGGUGAGGAGCGAGGAAUCUUCUGGUUCGAGUACCCUUACUCUAGAACCAAGCCACAUAUGGGGAAACCUAGGAGCUUACCCUAGGUAGAGCCACUCCGAACCUCUAGUGAUCACCCGAAUAGGUGCUUUAUUUGCCAUGUAUUUCUCCUAUACUAACGUAUUUUGUUUUGGUUUUGUUGAUGACUGCAUUGCAUUACAUCUUCAUAGAAAUGAGGUGUGGAUUCAUAUUCGAUUACUAAAUAGAAUAGUUUUUCAUAAGAAAACGAAUUUCUUGAUAAAGUGGAUUACAAUACGAUUGUCCGAAUAUGGUCCAAGUGAACGCGACAAAAGAAGGCUAACAGUUCGUGGAGAAAAACAAGACUUUUCCUAAAGAUUCAAGCUGAUAAAGAUUAUCCAAAAGUCGUCGCGUCCCGAAUUUCUUAAAGGAGCUAAUCAACAUUGCGAGGAUAAUAAUUCGUGGCCUGGAUCAAGCAAAAAGGAGCUAAUAGAGGCAUGUAGAAAGCUUGCGAGAUUUGACUUUCACGAAGACAGGGGAUCAGUGCCUUCCCCUGGAAUAUGAAAGCAAGGCCGUGUAUGUAAUCCGUUUUAUGUAAAAGAAUUUAUUUUCUAGAAAAGUUGUUCUAAGGGAAUUGAAAAUCAACCUCUUUCUUUCCUUUACAUUCAUCCCAUGCAUUUUCAUUGCAUUGCAUCAUUUGCAUUGCAUUGCAUCAUUUGCAUUAAAUUUUCCCAAAAGGACCCUAAUUAGGUAAAAUUAUUUCAGAACCAACAAAGAAUAUGGACCAAAGAUUGGAGAGAAUAGAGAAAAGGUAAAUACAGAUGCAAGAGCAAUUGAUUAGAAUCCAACAAGAUAUGCAAGAACAAAUGCUAGAACUCCAAAGAAAUAUGAUGGGUCAGUUAACCCAGUUACUGGCUGGAGAAUUUGAAAAAAGGAGUGGCCCAGUGAUCAAUAGUGAGGAUAAUAAUGAAGAGAUCAUCUAUUCCCCAGGUUUUACCCCGAUAAGUGUCCUGACCCAACCAGACAUGCAAGGGGUACCCGUUGUUAUCGGGCCCCAAUAUCAGACGGAUACAUCGGCACUGUUGAGCUUCCUGAUGGGUUCAGGUUUUAACUCGGAAGAUGAUCGAGCUAAACCAGUUGUUCUGAAAGAAAUGAAUGAAUGGGGAGAAUGGACUUUAAAGGCCCCAAAGAAGAAAGAAAAGAAAGCAAAUAGUACGAGUAGAUAUAACAAGGGUCGUUCGGAGUCGAUUAUAGUGAGCCAGCCAAGGUCGUAACUACCAGCCUUCAAGCCUCCUAAAGGCAAGAACCCAAUCAAAGACCAAACUCGGAAAAACCCCAAUUCACGCCCAUUCCAAUCACAUACAGAGAGUUGUACCACGUUCUGUUUGACGCACAUAUUGUAUCCCCUUUUUACAUCAAACCUAUACAACUCUCAUACCCUAAAUGGUACGAUACAAGUGGCCAAUGUGAAUACCAUGCGGGAAUCACGGGGCAUUCCAUCGAGAAUUGUACCGCUUUUAAAAAGCUAAUCGAAAGAUUUAUUAAAUUAGGUAUCGUGAAAUUCAAUGGUCCCUCUGGAGUAAGAAAUCUGUUAUCUAACCUUUCUGUUAAAGAGGUGGACAUUAUGAGUUCCAUGAUGGAUAGGGGCAUGAGAUGUAAGGGUGAAUCAAGCUCAGGACUCUAAUGCAAGACCUGGUAUUGGGGAAUCCAAACAUUAACGAUGUAUCAGAAGAGGAAACCCGGGAGUAGACUUUUCUAAGCUUCUGCCCUUACGUACUUAGGGUGUUUUAAACAAUGGGACUGUGAAAGAGAUCCUUGUAUUUUUAGAGCUAAUCUAGAGUAAUAUUCAAAACACACUUGUUGUUUUAAGCCUAGAAGCAACAAGAAUCCUUUUGUGAAAUAGGCUUAUAUCCAAAAUCUUUAUUUCAAUGAAAUACAUGUUUGUUAUCUUUUUGAGUAAAUAUUCUUUUAUUCUUUCCAUUUCAUACUGUACAAACGAUUUAUUCUUUCAUUCAUGAUCAUACCAUACAAAUAAUCAUCCUUAGAAUCAUUUAUUCUUUGGAAUCUGCCUUCGUACCUACAGCAGGUCUCCAGAUGUCAAUGACGUGAGCGACGCUGUCACUAAUUCUGAGUCUCAUUUUGAGCAAGAUAUGUGUCUAGAGGGAUCUCAGGACCUUGAAGAUGAUACAGACUGUAGCCUAUCUCCUGAUUUGUCAAGGAUGGUAGAACAAGAUGAGAAAUAGAUCCUACCUUACAAAGGGGCAAUGGACGUAGCGAACCUGAGAGAAGAGAAAGAGAUAAAGAUUGGAGUGUAUAACACCACAGAGACAAACCGAGAACACAUGGUUUUACGUUAGCCAGGCUAAUCAUGAGGUUCGAGUACUACUGAUCCAACAUGGAAGAGGAUUGUAUCAGUCAGGCUGUGAAUGCUAAACGAAAGAAGACAAGACUUUUAUGCCUCCUUAAUUUCUUCACAGAUUUUCUAUAUGCGGGGCAUGGAUAUUAUGGGGCUGAUCUCGUCAAAAGCUUCUAACCUAUACCGAUUCGUCUUUGAGGUCGUCGAUUACUUCAUGGAAAGGGUGAAAGUCAUUUCAUAUGCCAAUGUUACUAAGUCGAUAGUCAUCAAACUCAAAAAAAAAGAGAGAGAGAUUAGGUGCCAAUGAAGAUCGUCAGAAAGAUUCAAUGUCAGAAGUUGACAAUCUGUUCAAAGAUUAGAUGCCAUAUCAUAAUGCAGCAAAAAAUCGUGGAAGAUAAUCGAGGCUUGUAAAGAUUGGCAUAAAGAAGUUACCAUUUACCCUCUAUACUUAUCGAACACCGGCCAGAACCUUCGCCGGGGCAAUACAUUGCUCGUUUGCUUAAUGGGAUAGAAACAGUUUUGAAAACAAGAUUUCUUUUGCCCAAGUCUUGUCAAAGCUGAAGUUGGAUCAUGCAGAAUAGAUCCAAUCCUGAUAUGAUCAGUUGAAUUUGAAGAAAGGAGAUUGUGCCAUCUGCCAUGGCCCAAUGUACCAGAAAUGAAUGAUGCAAGCCUACGUCAGAAAGGUUCAUUCUAGAGAAUUCCGCAAGGAGGACCUGGCGUGGAAAAAGAUCCUUUUUAUACAAAAGGACUUCAGAGGAAAGUGAAAGGCCAAGGCGAAAAUUCGCAAAGGACGCUUUGAGACCUUCACAAAAAAAAGAAAAAAAAGAAAAAGAAAAAAAAGAAAAAGAAGAAAAGAAAAGAAAAGGAGAGGCCAAGGCAAAAACCCGCAAAGGGCGCCUUGAGACCAAAAGGGAUUUGAGUUGAAAACCCGUAAAGGACGGCUAAAAUUUGAAUCAAAGUAGGGCAUACAGUAGUCUUGUUACGCCUGAAUUAACAAUAAAGAAGUAUGCUACGCCGUGGGGCAUCGACAAAGUACUCCGGAUCCCCUAAAUACAUAUUGAGCUCAAAAUGGACCUCAAGAAGUUUGUAUAGAGAAGCUCGGGCUGCGAUAUCUGGGGCACCUAGUUUUCAUCUUACCCACACUGAAUUUACUAUCUUUGAUUACUAUAUUCGUUUCAAAAUAUCCUCCCAACAAACUUCCUUCUUAUUGCAUUCCUAUCUUUGAUUAACUUAUUCAUGUUGAAUUAAUUGCCUUCUUAUUGCAUUUACAAUCUUUGAUUAACUUAUUUGUUUCGAGCUGUGCUCUUACUCAAUUUCCUUCUUGUCCAUUGUUUUGAUCUUUUUCGAGCAUUUUUGUAUUGAAAUAACGAUUAAUGGACCAAUAAAACUUUCAAAAAAAGUUAUGCAUAUUACUCUAGAGGCUUCUAAAUAGCACGAGACCCUAAAUUAGGACUGUUGUUUAGAACACACCAAACCUAAGGGAUGGAAAUGUUUGAGAAAGAGGAGUCUAAAUUGUGCCUAUCUCUUCGGAUUUUCUAUCAAAGGUAUCGGUUGAACGAAGAGGCAAGAUAUUUCAUCGAUGAUACAACCUCGACAAAUAAUGAGUAAUGUCAACCUAAGCGUAAAAGGGGAUCAUUCUCAAAAAAAUAAAGCGAUACUCUGCAUUCAUACAAAUAUCGAGCAUAUACAGCUGGUCAUUACACCCGGGGAAUGGUGUAACAGGUCAAAUUGAUUGAAGAUCAUAUACCUCCGAGUUCCAGCAAGAUAGAUAGUGAACCUUAUUCCUCUGAAGUUGCAGUGGGAGGUAAAAACUUUAUGUCUCCAGGAGUUACAGUGGAAGAGACUCUGAAAUUAUAGCGGGGCAAGCUUGCCAAGCAAAAUGAGAUUGUUUCUUUGACUUUUCUAUCAAGAAUACCAGCCGAAUAGGAUAAUUGCAUAAUACGACAGUUGACGAUGUCCUGAUGAACAACGAGAAAUGAUACCCUAAGCCUUUUUUUAAAAAAAUGGAUCAUUUUCAUUUCCGCAUUCAUAUAUCAUUUAUAACACAUCUAGUUAGGAGCAUUUGAUUUAUUUCGAUCAUAGCAUCCUAAUUAUUUGACAUAAACAUCACAUCUAGUUAGGAACAAUUGAUUCAUGUCGAUCAUAACAUCCUAAUUAUUUGGCAUUAGCAUAGGCCUAUGAAACAGAUUGUAGAUCUUGUCUCCCUGAAGUUGCAGUGGGGCAAAUCGAAGACGACGAAUCCUGGCUUCCUGAAGUUGCAGUAAACCAGAUUUAAGACACCAUCCUAGCUCUCUAAAUUUGUAGUGGAGUAGGCUGAAGAUUGUAGAUCUUGUCUCCCUGAAGUUGCAGUCGAGCAAAUCGAAGACGACGAAUCUUGGCUUCCUGAAGUUACAGUGAAGCAGAUUUAAACAAGCCUUAACUGUAAUGCCCCCAUACCCGAGACCAUCUCUGGAGUCGAGCAUGAAGUGUUACUAAACUUAAUUCAUCAAUUAAACAACUUAAACAACUUAUUACCAACCAUGCAUGACAACCAAGUAUAUGCACAUCACUAAUAUCAAACAUAACAUAAAUAGCUAGAUUUAUAAGUCAGAAUCAUUAGCUCACUAAAGACCAAUAUAUUUGGCCAAAUUAUAAUAACACAUGUUAUAAAAUUAGGUCCCUAUACAUGCCACUCACUUGAUAAUUCUAGCAUAUGUGUUUAUACUGUCAAGGUGGUGGCUUGAUAGUGUGAUGCUACCUCCGACUGUCUCCAACCCUGAGCUAACCUGACAACACUAAAAGAAAUGGAAAGGAGGGGGGGUAAGCUUUAUGCUUAGUAAGCUCACAUGAAAUAAUAAUAAGCAAUUUAUUAACAUGCUUCCCACAAUAAAAUUAAGUCAUUUGUACAUUUACACAUGUUCUGGUUAAGCUGUUUUCUUGAGUAAUAGUCACUAAAUCAUUUAUAUUUAGAGUUACAGAACUCCAAAUUAAGAUCCGUAAAUUUUCCAAAACACUAGACUCAUAUAUCUUUCCACCAUAAAAUUUUCAAAAUUUUUAAUCUAGCCAAUAAGUACAGUUUAUUAUUCAAAGUAUCCCCUGUUUUGCUGUUUAACAGCUUCGACCUUUCUUCACUAAAAUUUAUUUAUCUCAUAGUAAAAAACUUGGAUGACGUUCUUGUUUGUUUUUAUUAAAAUUAAACUAAUCCAAGAUUCUAGGAAUAUAAAUUAUACCCCAAAAUUAUUUUUCUAUAAUUUUUAAAAAUUUUUCCAAGUCAGAACAGGGGAUCUCGAAUUCAUUCAGACAUUGUCUCACAAGAAUUCAAAUAUCACAUAAUAUGGAAUUCUUUUGCUUCCCCUGUUUCUUUUAUGUGAAAAUAGACUCAAUAAAAUUUAAUUACAUAUUUUAUUUGAAAUUUAAUUCAACUUCCACAAUUUUUGGUAAAUUUUCAAAUUCAUGCACUGCUGCUGUCCAACACUGUUUUACUACUAAAGUUCACUUUUGCACAAUUUCACUUAAUCCAUUCCAUUUUACCGAGGUUCUUUCAAAUAUUGAGCAUAUUGCUCAUAAAUUCAAAUAAACAUAUACUUGCACUUGUUCAUCACAUAAUCACUUUCACAUUUAUUUUCACUUAAUCGAUUUCCCGUUGAACUCAUCGGAAUAAUAACAGAUACACAACUACCUGCAUAUUUUCUCAUUUCCACACUUGUAGCUGAAGCUAUCUGGUACGCAUAGUAGCCUGCACUUAGUACUACACAUGCGACCAAUUAUCCGGUACACGUAGUAGCCUGCACUUAGUACUACACACGUGACCUAACCAUUUGAUACACGUAGUAGCCUGCACUAAGUACUACACACGUGAUCGAAGUUAUCAGGUACGCAUAGUAGCCUGCACUUAGUACUACACAUGCACCAACAAUCUGGUACACGUAGUAGCCUGCACUUAGUACUACACACGUGACCUCACAAUAGCUCAUUUGUAUCAUUUCUAUUCUGAAGGUUCAACCGGAAAAUUCCUCACUUUUCAACAUUUUACUAAAGUGUCCGUAAUCAAUUUAAAUUCAUAACUUACAUCAAAUAACCAUUUGACAGGCAGCCACAUUUCAUAUGAUAUCAAAAUAUAUUAACAUAAAAAGAAUCGAUAGAUUAUUUAUAUACGAACUUACUCGAAGUUUCGAUCUCACUAUCCAUAGUACCAAUUGUCCAUUCAUAGUAUAAUAAGACACAACUCAAAUAUCAAAUCAGCUUUUAAGAAUUUACAUAACAUAUAUCACAUAUUUCAUAAUAACAAUCUUCAUAUCAUAUAAAUAACAUUAAUGAUAAUAAUCAUCAUAUCAUAUAAAUAACAUUAUAUUACUUAAAUUGACAAUCAUGUUACCACAUUUACACAUGAACUUACCUCGAUACAAAAUAUUAGCAAUCGAGCCUAUUCCUUGUAAACUUUGUUUUUCCCUCGAUCACAACUUGAAUCUCGUUUCUCUUGAUCUAUAAUACCAAAUUAAUUUAUUUAAUACAUACAUUCAUCAAAACAGCCUUUAAUAUGAACUUUGGCAAAAUUACCAUUUUGCCCCUAAACUUUUGCAUAAUUACACUUUUGCCCCUAGGCUCAGGAAUUAAACUUCAUCCCUUAUUCUUAUGUUUUAUGACAUGCUGAUCAUUUUUCCCUUCUAUGACAACAUCAAAUUCUCACUCUAACAUGCACUUAUGACUAUUAUGUAUUUUACCGAUUAAUCCCUUUUACUCUUUUUCACUUAAAACCGAGUAGCACAAGUUGUCUAACAUAAUUUAAAACCUCAUAUUCUAUCAUAAAACACCAAAAUACACAAAUUUCACCUAUGGCUAUUUUUCCAAAUACGAACCCUAGGUUGAAUUAUUGCUAGCAUAAGCUAAAUCAAGUUACCGGGAUUCCAAAAACGUAAAGAACUUGAAAAACGGGGCAAGAACGGACUUACUAUUGAGCUUGGAAAGCUUGAAAACCUAACCAUGGCUUCCCCCAUGCUAUUUUCAGCCUCCAUAUGGAGAAGAUGACCAUUUUGUGCUAUUUUUCCCAUUUUAUUUCAUUUAAUAUGCAAAUGACCAAAAUGCCCUUACUACUAAACUUUCAAAAAAAAUCCAUCCAUGUCCAAUUUUUGUCCACAAACUUCAGAAUGGUCUAAUUACCAUUUAAGGACCUUUGAUUUAAAAACUCAUAACAAUUAAACACUUCUAACAUGUAAAACUCAACUUUUGCACUUUUUACAAUUUAGUCCUUUUGGCCAAAUUGAGUGCCCAAACGUCGAAAUUUUUGAACGAAAUUUUCAUGAAAUAAUUUGUGAAAUCAUAGACCAUAAAAAUAUAAUAAAAAUGAAAUUUUCCUCGUCGAAUUUUUGGUCCCGAAACUACUAUUUCGACUAAGCCCAAAAUCAGGAUGUUACAUUAACUCCCUAAGUCGUAGGGUAACAGGCUGAAGAUUGUAGAUCUUGUCUCCCUGAAGUUAAAGUGGAGGAAAUCGAAUACAACGAAUCUUGGCUUCCUGAAUUUAUAGUGAAACAGAUUUAAGCAAGCCUAAACUCCCUAAGUUGUAGGGCAACAGACUGAAUAUUGUAGAUCUUGUCUCCCUGAAGUUGUAGCGGAGCAGUUACAGUAGAGCAGAUUAAAAGCUACAAGGCUAGUCUCUCUAGAGUUAUAGCGGAACAGAUAAGAGCGGCAAUUCCUAUGUCUCUAAAGUUGCAGAGGAUGGGAACAAGGCUAUCUCGAAGAAGAAAAAGCACCGAAGAAGUCAAGAUCCUGCAAGACCAGACAGAUUUGCCCAUUUUAAGGUCUGUGCUCCAUUCCCGUUACACGACAAUGAGCAAAGGGAGGCAGCUGUAAUGGGCCAAAUCUACCCGGGCUCAACAACCAAAAACCAAAAUUAAAAAACAAAUAAAAAUUAAACCAAAUUAAAUGUCCACAAGUCCAAAUUACAUAACCCAAAUUUCAAACCCAAACCCAAAUUUAAAACCCAAAACCGAAUUAAUCCUAGCCCAAUACUCAAUGGCCCAACAACUAAUAGAGCCCGAUAGGGCCAAUCCUUUGAAAGUUCUUGGGAACCCUAACCCUAGCCCCAUUCGCUUGGCGCCGCAGCAGCUUCCAGCAUCCUCCAGCACUACCAUCGCUCGCACCUCCACGUCGACACAACCGUACCACCACUAUACACCGCCACGUACCUACAAGCAGACAAGCAUACAACAACAAAAUAGAGUAAAAAAAUGAGCAGAUUUUUGUAUUCUUUUUCUUUUUUCUUCAUUUUUUUUUUGCUUUUGGCUACAAAAAGCCAAAGCCAAAGAAUGUAAUCAAAGGAGGCACACUUCGCAUAUUGUAAUAGAGAAAAAGGCUAUCAAAAUCAAGAGGUGAUUUCCGAUUUAGAUCGUUGGGCAUUUUUUUAUUCUAUAUAUAUAUUUCUUUUUUCUUUUUUCUUUCUCUUCGGCUUUAUUCUUUAGUUCUUGUUGUUUUUUUAUUUGAAGACACGAAUAAAAAAGGCGAAGGGCUUACCUUUGUGAACGUGCCAUCGAAGUCCCUAGUUCCUCCGUCGAGAUUGAAGUUAUAGAGGGGAUUUUGGGGCUAAAAUCGGCGGUCCUUGAGGUAGGGAUCCAAGCGGAGUUAACGAGCGAAUAGAUCGCCCUCCGUCGAUCACUGUUUGGGGUGGUCAAAUGGCAACUAGGGUCUUUUGAGGCUUGGUGCUAAAGAGGGGUGAAAAUCGGCCAAAUGAGAGAAGGUGUGGGGGUAUUAGGGUUUAGCUUUAAUGGAGGCUUGAAGAAAUGGUCGAUUGCCUCUCAAUCCCCUGCUAUUGUGGAUUAAAAAUGAAACGGCGCCGUUUUAGGGGAAGAGACCCGCACAUUAACCCGUUCCAGGACUCGGAUCUGCGCUUUCACGCUUAAAAUGGGUUAUUUGUGCAGCAGGUCCUUCCCCUUUGCACCGCAUUGUGAUUAGCUCCCAUUCGCAUAUGAUUUGUUUUGAUUUCUUUUGAAUUUUUCCCAAAAUUUGAGCUCUUUUGCAUUUUAGCCCGUAUCUCAACGCAGUGUUUCGGGAUCGGGGAAAUUAUCAGCUUUGGUCCCUCUGAAUUCGCGCGUGUUGCGCAUGGGUCCUUAUUUUAAUAUUAGUAGUUUGUUUUAUUUAUAGAUUAGCCCUUUCAUUCUAACUGCAUUUUAAUUAGAUCCCUUUGAUUUGUAUAAUUCAUUUUUUUAUUAUUAGCUCGAUUUUUUCCAUAAAUGUUUACUUUUUUUUUGAGUUUUUAAGAUGAUUUUUCCCUCUUGACAUAAGAUCUUUAUGUCAAAUUUUUUAUCAUGUUAUUUUAAAAUGUUUUUUUGUAUAAUAUAUCCUUUAAAUGUUUUUAUUUACUAUUAAAUACAUGUAGUUCAUGAUAAAGUUAGAUUUUUAUUCUAUAUAUCUUAAUAAUUCUAUGAUUACUUCACAUAUAUUAUUUCUUUCGAAUCUAUUUGCAUAUAUAUAUCAAAACCUUAUGUAUAUAAAACAUAUUUUAUCAUUUUUUUUGUUUUUAAAAAACCUUUCAUAUUUUUUAAUAUUCUUUAUUGUAUGUGUAUGGUUUAUUUUGAUAUUUCAUUUUAAAAAAACAUUUUGCACAUUUUUUGAAUUAUUGUAUCAUAUAAUCAUUUUAAAAUUUUUUUCAUGUAAUUUUAUGUUUAAAAUAUUCAUAUAAUAUUUUAUCUUCAUAUAUCAAUAUUCAUAUAUACAUAUACAUAAUUUAUAUCGAAUUACUUAUUUAAAUCCUCUCUUAAAUAUGUUCAUUUUUUUUACUUAUAUAUAUUCUUUAUUUCUUUUAAAUCCAAUUUUGGUAUUAUAUAUAUUUUGUUUGUUUCAAAUGUUUUCCUAUAUUAUUAUUAUCCUCUUGUAUAAGCGUUGUUUAUAUUAAGCUUUUUAUUUCAUGAACAUUAAUUAUUGUGGAUGAAUAAAUCUUGCUUCAAAUUAUUUUUGUACAAUCACUAAUUUCAUAUUACAUAGUUAGUAUUUCAUAUACAUUCUUUUAAAUACUUUUAUACGGUUAUACCCAUAUAAUCUAUUUAUCUUAAAACUUUCUAACAUGUAUGCCAUUGGUUUAAAAUUUAUGUUGACAUCCAUUACUAUAUUUAUGUAUAUUAUAUAUAAUCGAUAGAUUUUGGGUUUAAAUCGUUUUGUAUAGUCUUCUUUCCAAAAUUCUUCUUAUAAUACUAUUUUUUGAAAUUCAUUUAUAUGUUAAAGUUUAUGUAUUAUUUACUCUAUAUUUUUAUUGUUUGAUGAUCUAACUCAAAUUUUUAUGCGUAUAUACAUAUUCCUAGUUUCUAUAAAAUAUUUAGAAUCAUAGCAUAUGCUAACUUUUAUGAUAUAUUUAUUUUAUAUCAUGCUAUGUAUAUUAUUAUGGCAUAUUAUUGUGUGUAUUGACUUGGUUGUGUUGAAUUGUUAUAUUACUAUUUUUGUCAUUGUAUUAUCAUAUCAAUUAUUUCCCAUGCAUGAUCGUAAUCGGGUUAUAUUUUUUAGGUUAGUUAUACCUAAUUAUUAGUUUGUUAAUUGAUUGUAUCUAAUGUGCAUAUUAUCUCAUAUCAUUGUUUUCCACUUGGUUUAUGAAAUAUGGUUUUAUAAAAUCUAAAUUUUUAUGAUUAGUUUUGUCUUAUUUUGAGUCGAAUUAAUGCGAUUUAAGCUAGUUUUAUAAUCAUUCAUGUUUUCUAAAAACCCUUUAAAACUAAGGCAAUGCUCGAUGUUUAGAAAUUCGAGUAAUCAUGCCCUACUGUGCUGGGUUUCGGUUUUACGUUGGACUAAAUAAUCGGGCAUCCAUUUGUAAUCUUCAACUUAUAAACUUUUGGAAAUCAAAAAUUUAUCGUGUUCUCAAGGGUAUAAAGGAUUGUGUCCUAUCGUGCUGGAUAUGAUGCUAUAUUCCCUCGAAACGAGAAGACUUUGACGACCAAAUCGGGUUAUUCAAAUGUUAUUAAAAGGAACCACAUUUCAAAAAUAUUUUUAAUUUUAGACAUAAGGACAGUAUUUAAUUGAUUUGGUACCAAUUUUGGGCGUAGUGAGGGUGCUAAUCCUUCCUCAUGCGUAACAGACUCCCGAACCCAUUUUCUCAUAUUUUCGUAAGACGAAAAUCGUUGUUUUAAUAAAAGGAAAUAUUUUAUUAAAAUAACCAAAUUUCUAGGUGAUUCGUUCACACCUAAACAAAAAGAUUGGUGGCGACUCCAUUUCCGUUUUUCAAAAAGUCGAUUCUCUAUUUUUUUCAUUAAAUUUAAAAUUUUAAAAAAAAUGGUUUCGACAAGUUGGAUGAAGGCACAUUUGUUCAAUGGCAGUAGCACAUUUGGUUAAUUGUCGAGGACUAUGAGCUGACUAGAUUCCUAGAUGGCACUUUGUCGAUUCCACCGCGAUUUUUGCAGUCUCCGAAGGGAUCGCUUGUUCCAAAUCCAGAUGUGUUAGCAUUUGUUCAAUAGGACAGGUUAUUAGCUUCUUGGUUGCUUUCCAUGAUUAACCAAUCUAUUUUACCUUCUUUUACAGAAGCAAGAUCCGCUUGUAAUGUUUGGAACACUGCCACACGACUUUUUACUCUGCUCACUGGUACGAAGCUCUCUCAUCUUCGUUAUGACUUGCUUACUCUCAAAAAGGCAGUUUCUCGGUCAAGGAAUACGUGGCUAUGAUCCAAAAUACCAAUGCCUUGAUAGCACAUUCUGGAAAUCGAAUCUUCGAGACAGAGAAAGUCGAGAUCCUACUUGCAGCCUUACCCCCUGAGUUUGAUGUCGUUAUCACACUCGCUUCAUUCUCGACGGAGCCUCUGUUGUUUCAACGCCUCGUUGAUGUUCUCCUCAAAUAUGAAAACUGUUAAGCGCGUAUGAUAUAGGAGGUCCCUCUUCAAGCAAAUCUUUUGGAGACCGAUCCAUCACCGGCCAUGGUGGACUCCAUUCGUGGUGGUCAACCACCAUCUAAAAGCUGUGGGAGAGGUUUCAGACCUCGCGUCCAAUGUCAGAUUUGGGGACGGUUCGGGCGCCUCGCCCAAAGAUACUACUAUCAUUACAAUCCGGAGUAUGAUGGCUCGUCGUAAUGAGUUCGGACGCCUCCUUCAGCUAAUCGUCCUGGUCCCCUCCGUGGUGCUUCUUCGAUUGAGCCUAAUGUGGGAGGUAACUCCUGCCCUACGCGUCUUUAUCUCAUCAGAAUAGGGUCUCUAACCUUUUUGUUCAAGCUGAUGGUCUUUGUAUACCCAAUAUGCAUGCUUCUGAUAUUUCUGACUCCACUGGUUCUCAUAUUAAUGCCACUCAAUAUGGCUCCAACUGUGAUGACACUGACUCUUAUAUCCUUAUGCAGGUCGGCACUACAUCCUAGUAUCCCGACUCUGGUGCUACACAUCAUGUAUGUUGCGAUGCCUCUGCGUUGCAUGACUCUACUCCUUAUUCAGGUAAAUCAUCUGUCUUAAUAAGUGACGAGACUUCCACUGCGAUCUUGUUUAUUCGUAAUUCGGUUUUACCUACGCGCUCUAAAUUCCUUCAGUUAUCUAAUGUGUUGUGCGUACCAACUAUAAGGAGAAAUUAGUUGUCUAUAUCUCAGUUUGCCACUGAAAAUGGUGUGUUUUUUGAAUUUCACUCAACUUAUUGUGUUAUUAAUGACAGCGUGACUCAGGAAAUCUUGCUAAAGGGCCACAUUCGUGAUGGGUUGUAUCACUUUUUAGUAUCGAGUUCAUCUGUUCAGACUGCUGUCGCCCCUUCUGCUGCUUACGUUAGACUUCAAAAUUAGUCAUCUGACUCUGCUAUAUUUUUUUGUGGCACAAACGCCUUGGUUAUAUGUGACGGCCCUAAUUUGACCCUAGUCAGAAAGUGGUUUCGGGACCACAAAACUGAGUCAUAAAAAUAAUUAACCGUUAUAUUCUAUGCUUAUGAUAUGUGUAAAUGCAUGUGUGAAAGUUUCAUGCUUUGAUUUUGUCAUUUGUGUGUGAAAUUUAAUAAAUAGGGCUUAUGUGAGACAUUUUUGAAAUGUGAUAGGUUAAUUUUAAAAUGGUCUAAUAAUGCAUGUUAUCAAAAAGGUGGACUUGCAUGCCAUAUUAUCCAUUUUUGUUAGUGGCCGGCCAUGAUAUUGUUUAAUAUAUAUUAUAUAUAUUUUAUAUUAACAUUUUUUUUAUUUACUAAAUGAAUUAAUGAAUAAAAGAUAAUAGAAUAAUGGUUAGUGGGAGGAGAAACCAAAGUUGGUUCAUCUUUGCUCCUCCAUUGCCGUAGCUAGAAGAGAGGAAGAAGAAAAAAUUCUUGUUUGAAUUUCGGCUUAGGUGAUUGCUUGAAUGAGGUAUGUACAAUGCAACUCUUAGAAAUUUAUGCAUAAUUAGGAUGAUUAGUUUGAAUUCUACCUAUUUCAUGGUUUGAAUUUAGGAUAUUUGGAGGUUUGAAAUUCGGCCAAGGAGCUUGAAACUCUUAGUAGAUACUUUAAUGUCGUUAGAAUGGAUAGUAAUGUUGUGUAUGAUGAGUUGUUAGUUUUUUUUAACUUGAAAGUUGAGGUUAGUAUGUGUUUAUAGGGAGAUGCCGAAUGUGGUCUUUGAAUAUGACUUAAGUAAUAAUAUUUGUGGCUUGAGUUAAUAACAUUCGGCCAAGGACUAUAUGUGCUAGCAAAUUCGGUAUAAAUGUAUAGGUGUUAAUUACCUUGUAUUCGAUGUUUUGAAGAAUAGGUAGUGGUUAAUUAAGGUGAGGUAGGGUAAAUUUUUAGUUUAGUUAAGUUUGAGCAUUCGGCAUUACUUAUAACAUUAGAUAUGAAAGUGCGAAGGGUUAGAAUUUCUUUUAAGUGAGUUAUGACCUUAAUAUGAACAAGAUAGAAUUGGUUUUAAACAUGAUUGAAUGGUUCGGUCAUCGUUUGGCAUAGGUGACACCUAUAUGAAUUUGCUACAUUUCGUCAUAAAACGGAAUUGAAUAUAAAGGCUAAGUUUGAGUAGUUAAGGCCGAAUGGGUUAUAUAUGAUAUUAAAGCAUGCAAUAAAUAUAUAUACAUGUGUAUACGUGGUUGUGCAUAAAUAUGAGUAAACGAUUAAAUUGUGACAGUCACAUAGGUAUAUAUAUGCCUUAUGUAUGUACCUUGUGUUAUAGAGACAUUCGGAUGUAUAUAUAUAUAGUUAAAUUCAUGUAUAAGAAAGCAUGGUAAGUUAUGUGAAUCUUUGUUUGUGUAUACUAAUUAGAUAUAGAUUAAAUAAGCAUGAAAUCGAGUCAUGGCAUAUUUUAUAAAAUAUAAUAUGUAUUGGAGUUUUAUAUGAUUGUCAAAUAUGACUAGUAAGAAGUAAAAUUGAGUAAGUAAUUAAACAAAUUCAUUUGUUUAAAUUAAGCUCAAGAGCAAAGAGGAUCUAAAUUAGAUAGGGGAAAGGAGAAAGCAAUCGAGUAGCCUAUCCGCAACUGUUCAAAUAUAUUCGAGGUAAGUUUUGAGUAGUCUCCUUUAAUAUAUAAUUGAUGAUGUUUUUAUAUGAGUAUAUUAGGUGAAUUGUGAUCUUUUGAUUUUUCCUUGAAUGAAGUUGUGAAAUAAAUAAUUCAUGUAUAUGACUUAUAGUCUAAUGGUCACUUGGGUUUAAGCUUGAAUGGUGAAAUGGAUAUGUGAUAUUUAUGUAUGACUUUUGAGCCGAAAUGUAAAUGAUGGUGUGCAUAUUGAGUAUUAGAUCCGAAUGUAGCAAAUGACUACUAAAGUGAUAAAUAGAAUGAGAUGUGUUAAAGUAUGACUAAAUAUGCAUGAUAUUUGGAAUUAUAUCCGGACUUAAGGUCCGCAGGCUAUAUGCUGGAAUUAUAUCCGGACUUAAGGUCCGCAGGCUAUAUGCUAGAAAUAUAUCCGGACUUAAGGUCUGCAGGCUAUAUGCUGGAAUUAUAAUCCGGACUUAAGGUUCGCAGGUUACGUGCUGGAAAUAUAUCUGAGCUUAAAGUUCCGAAGGCUUUGUGCUAGUGACUGGACUCGGGUUUUAAACCUAACAGGCGUAACGCCGGUGAUUCGAGUAAGAUUAUGAAUUCGAAUGUUCGAGGUAAACUACUAUUGAUUAUGUAUAAUACAUUAUAAUAGCCAGGUACGUAUUAUGUACUCAUAUGUGAAUUGAUUUUAAAGUGAAUUAUUAGUAUCAAAGAACAAUAUAUAUGUGUGGAUGAUUAUUGUAUCUACGAAUAAAAGAAUGACCUAUUCGGUCAAUUUCUGUCAUUAUAGGAAAGUAUGUGACUUAAAUUAAUUGUAUGAGUCAUAUAGUAGAGCAAAGUAUGUGCUGAAGAUUUUCUUUGUGUGUAUAUAUAUAUAUUCGGCUAAUUGGCUUCAUAAUUAGUAUACUUGAUUAUAUUCAGCCAAGUGAUUUAUAAUUAGAAUAUGAGUUUUGUGAUACUUAAUGUUUGAAGUAAAUGAUAAGUUUUAAAUGUUUGUAAUGCUCAAAACUUACUAAGCCUCGAAAGCUUACUCGGUUCCUAUUUCUCUGUUUUAUAGAUUUUUGAUUUUGGCCACCGACUCGGGGAUCGUCAGCAGUUCAUCAUACUAUCGACCUUUUUGGUACAUUUAUAUUUUGGACUCGAUAUGGCAUGUAUAGGUUAGGCUGAUGAUAAAGAUGUUUUGAAUUUGUAAAUAUUUUGGCCAUAUGAAAAUGGCGUAUAACUUAAAUAUCAGUAUGUAUUUCAGCUCGAUCUCUGUUUAUAUUUAUUUGCAAUGUGAAUGAGAUAAUUAAAUGUUUAGUUCGGUAAUACCUCUUAGCCUUAAUCCGGCGAUCGGAUUCGGGUUAGGGGUGUUACAUCAUCCUUCUGCUUCUGUUGUUAAAUCUAUUUUGAAUAAAUGUAAUAUUACUUCGAGUGAAAAUUGUCGAAACAAUGUUUGUUCUGCAUGUUAAAAAGGGAAGUUCCAUAAAUUGCCCUUUCCUGAUUUGACUACUAAAUACAAUGAUCUUUUUGCCUUGGUUGUCCCUGAUCUCUGAGACCCGCCUCAGUUGCUUGUGGUAAUAAUUUGUAUUAUGUGUCCUUUAUUGACAUGUGUACACGUUUUACAUGGAUUUAUCUUAUUCGACAAAAGUCUGAAGCAGUGGAUUGCUUCGUUUAGUUUUAGAAAUUAGUCAAAACACAGUUUGGGAAAUCUAUCAAACAAGUUCAAAGUGACUGGGGUGGCGAGUACCGAGCCUUUACUUCUAUUCUAGCACCUCAAGGAAUAUUUCAUCACUUGUCAUGUCCACAUACCUCUGAAUAGAAUGGAGUGGCUGAACGCAAUCAUCGGCAUAUUGUUGACACGAGCGUUACACUCUUGGCGCAAACAAUUCUCUCUAUAGAAUUUUGGGCUUAUGCAUUUUGUUGUACUCUUAAUUUGAUUAAUAGUCUUCCUACAUCGGUUCUGAACGGACAGUCUCCGUAUAAAGCUCUUCAUGGACAAGAUCCCACAUAUCAUUAUCUGCACAUAUUUUGGUGUUGUUAUUUUCCUUAUUUACGUCACAAGCAGGAUUUUUGGUCGCAAUCAUGUACGUUCUUGGGAUAUAAUUCUCAACACGAAGGAUGUCAAUGUCUCCUUCCGAAUGGUAAGAUUAUUAUUUCUCGACAUGUUGUGUUCGAUGAACAACAAUUUUUGUCUCUUCCGUCUGCCACGCAUGAUUCUAUGUCUUUAUUUGGUUCUAUGAAAAUAUUUGUUCCUCUUGUUAAGGCUAUCUUUUCUCAGCCUGUAGAGUUUUCAUCCAUUCUGCCUUUGUCUUCCCCCCGUCUGCUGCCCCACAACUGCUAUUUUUGCAGUUCCUCAGGCUUAGGUGGGUUCUGAUCGUGAAUCUCCUAGUUCUUCCUCUUUACCCGAUGAUGAUGCUGCUCCUGGCUCUGUCGUGCCUACUCUCACUAUUCAGUCCUCUCCUUCAGUUCAGGAAUUUUCGUUACCUCUGACGAAUACUCAUUCGAUGAUUACUCGGUCUAAGGCUGACAUUUUAAGCUGAAGGCUUUAACUAUUGAGGUUGUUGAGCAUAACACUAUUGAGGAGGCUUUUCUUAGCACAGAAUGGCGUGUUGCAGCUCAGGCAGAAUUUGAUGCUCUCAUUAGUAAUUCUACCUGGGAUCUUAUUCCAUUACCAUCCAAUCGCAAGACAAUCGGGUGUAAAUGGCUUUUCAAAGUCAAGAAAAACCCUAAUGACUCGGUUAGUCGCAAAAAAGUGUUCUCAAGUACUUAGGUAUGACUUUAAGAAAACUUUUAGUCCGGUUAUAAAACCUGCUACUAUUUAGGCAAUCCUGUCUGUUGCAGUUUCCAGGAGGUGGCAGCUCCUUCAAGUUAAUGUGAACAAUGCCUUUUUAAAUGACGAUCUUGCUGAUGUGGUGUUCAUGCAACAACCCCCGGGCUAUGUACAAUAUAGGUUCGAUGGCAAACCUUUAGCCUGUCAUCUGAAGAAAGCUUUGUGUGGUCUUCGCCAGGCUUCGCGUGCUUGGUUUGAUAAAUUGAAGAACUUUCUUGUUUUAAUCGGUUUUGUUAUGUCUAAAUCUGAUGCAUCUUUGUUUGUUCGAAUUACGAAUACCUUCGUUCUCUAUGUGCUUAUCUAUGUGGAUGACAUUAUUAUUACCGAGAGUGUAACUAACUGUAUCAAUAGUUUUGUUCAGCAGUUAAAUGAUGAGCUCUCACUUAAGGAUAUGGGUGAUCUCCACUAUGUCCUCGGGAUUGAGGCUACUCGUUCUUCCACAGGGCGUGUUCAUCUUUGUCAGAAAAAGUACAUCCGUGAAUUACUUAAACAGAGUUCUAUGUUUUGUGCUAAGAGUGUUCAUACUCCAAUGGUUAGCUCUUCUACUCUCUCUGAGGAUGACAGAGAUCAACCCACUGAUCCUACUGUGUACAGCAGUCUUGCCAGUGCUUUACAAUAUAUAGUCUUGACUCGACCGGAUAUUGCUUAUGCGGUGAGCCGUAUAUAUCAGUUCAUGCAUGCGCCUACUUCUGUUCAUCUGAUCACUUUGAAGAGAAUUCUAUGGUAUUUAAGUGGUACACUUGAUUAUGGAAUUGUUUUUCGUACACUUGAUUGGGGCUGGAUUUUGAUGAUCGUCACUCUACAACAGGCCACUGUGUGUAUUUUGGUCACACGUCUGUCUCCUGGUGUUCCAAAAAGUAGCCAGUGGUUUCGUGAUCUACGGUUGAGGCUGAAUAUGGAAGUCUUGCUGCAGCUACUAGUGAUGUUACUUGGCUUGUUUUGUUGCUCAAAGAAUUGCAACUUCAAAGUGUUGAUUAACCGACUGUUUGGUGUGACAAUUCUAGUGCAGUUGCCGUAACUGCUAAUCCUAUCUUACAUUCCAUGUUCAAACAUGUCUAGCUGGAUCUAUUUUUUGUCCCAAAAAAGGUCACUGAUGGCUCUCUUGAUGUUGGAGAAGUUCCUGCAUGUGAUCAAGUCACCGACAUUCUAACCAAGCUGCUUUUUGUCUCGCUUUUUACUAGAUUUCAAAAUUUUCUUCGGGUCUUGCGUAUCGGGAAAAAGGGUGAAUGUUAAGAAUAUAGUAUACUCUGUUAAUUGAGUUAGCUAGCCUAGCUGUUAGUCUUCUAUUGUUAGUUUGUUACUCAACCAGUUAGGUUGUUAGCCAUAGCAGUUACUAUAUUGUCCUAUAAAUACUAAUCUCUAUAAUGUACAUGUGAAGAUAACAAGUCUAAUACAAAAGAAUUCUUUCAAAUGCUCAAUACAUAUUUCUAUACUCAGUAGUGCUUAUUCAUAGUUUAUCGUAGUUGUUAACAAUGAAAAUAUAGAAUUAAUUGUGAAGAAAUAAAAUUAGUCUCAAUUUAGGGAUUAAUUUGAAAUUUAGGUAAAUGUUGAAUAAAAAUUGAAAUAUUCAAUGUGAAAUUGAAUUUUAUUAUAUUGAUGAAUUUUAAUUGUUUCAAUUCUAUAGCUAACAUUGUGUCAGAAACCUCGACUAAGAAAGGAAAAGAUAAAGUCGACUCAGAGUAGCUCGAAAGUUCUGGUUUGUAUUUCUAUGAUCCGAAUUUAAAUAUUAAUUGUUGUGUUUUUUAUUUAAUGUUUAUGGUAAAUGAAUGAGGUGAGUAAUUAGCAUUUUAAUAUUGAAUUGAAUGUAUGUGAAUUUAUGAUUAAUGUGAUAAUUGAAUAUUGGAAAAUUGUGGCAUUUGAAAAGUGAAUUGAAACCCUAUUUUUAUUCCAGGCUAAGUCAGAUAUAAAUGGCAUGCCAUAGAUUGGAAGAGUUCAAGGAUUAUUUCGACCUUGAGUCGAUGAGAUACUUGGUGUCAAUCUAUUACUUCAAAUUAAUUCGAUGAGGGAUUGUGUACCAAUUUACUUCGGUUUAGUCGAUGAGACACUGAGUGUUAAAUUAUUACUUCGAAUUAUCCGAUGAGACACUGGGUGCCAAACUGGUGUAUUUUGGUUGCAUCCGUGUAUCCGUCCAAGUUCGAGUUGUGUUAAUAGAGGUAAUUAAAUGAAAUGAUAUUGUGAACAGUGUAAUAGGCCCAUUUCGCCCGGGCUCACACAAAAAACAAAAACCAAAAAAAUAAAACCAAAAUAAUUUAAAGGUCCAGAGUCCAUUUACACCCACAUUUUAAUAGCCCAAAACAAAAAUAAAACAUCAGUCUAGCUUACAAAACAAUGACCCAAAUUAAACCCAAAGUCCAAAAACCAGACCUAACCCAAAAGAAAUACAAAGCCCAAAUGGCGCAGGAUAUUUGUAAGCAGAAACCCUAAGGGUUCCUUUCCCUUUGCACCGCAGCUUGCUAGCUUGGAAACAGCCUCCACACCCAUAAACGGGUCCUCCUUCCGUACGACUAUCACCACAAUGGAACCUGUGAGAAGAAAUAACAGAAACCAUAACAAAAGCCAACAAAUGACAGCAAGAAAAUAGAAUUUUAUUUUUCUUUUAUUUAUGCUGUAAAUCGGCUAUAAAAAACCAUCAUUUGUACUGUAAAUAGAUGACGGACGCAUAUACCAAAGAAAUCAAAUCGAAUUAGCAGAAUUUUGCAUUUAUUUUUUCAAUUUAUCCUGCUUUUGUUUGAUUUUGAGUGAAUUUUGCUUGGUGAUAGCAAAAAUAAAAAGGUUUUGAAACCCCUUCCAUUUUACGGAGAUCUAUCCCUCUUAUUUUCUAAAAUAGAUUUCAAAUAAUUUUCCUCUAGAUCUUUUUUUACCUUCUUCUAUUUUUGUUAAUGUGUAAAAAUAAAGAGAGGAGGGAAAGGGAAAACGCUUACCAGGCCUGCGUGCGCGCUGUAAGCCACCAGAAGUGGAGAUGGUCUGGCGGCAGCAUGAGGUUUGGGCAAAACCCUUGCAGAGAAGGUUAACAACUUACAG